CAUCGCUCCCUCUGCCCAGCAGAACAUCUCCGCGGAGCUCUGUCGGCCUAAAUCCUACUUCUUUCUCAAACCUCACUCAGAUGAUCCCCCAGCCAGAACAGUGCCUCAACCAGCCCGGCCAGUCGGAGUAUCUGUGCGUCUGCUGUUGACCAUUCAGGAAGAUGAAGGUUUAAUGUGAUUUCAGCCACAUGGGGCAGAGGCUCGAGAGUCCAGCCUCGAGGCUGCUGGCAGUCAGGGCCAGCCCCAAGGCAAGUCCUGCCAAACCAAGAACUGAACACCUACUCUACCCUGAAGUGAGUCGAGAGAUUGCUCCCCUGGAAGGUGAUGCAGGAAGAGACUUGACACCGUGUGGCUGGGAAGACCCGGGGCCUCGGGAUGUUGUCUCAAUUGGUGGUGAACUGCUUUGUGAUGCCCUGGACCUCUCACUUCUCCUGGAUCUGCCCUCUGCUGUUGCACUGUGUUGUGUGCUGGGGCUGCCAGGUUCCUAUGGACCAUGGCCAGUGGUGACUGGUCCCGGAGAAGGUACCUGAUCAGGACUGGGUCAAUCUCAUCCUUCGCCGGGACUUUGGACCUUGGGCCCAGAGAAAGAGCAAGUCCAUCUUCCUACUGGUGAGAACUGGGAGUACAUGAGCCCAUCUUUCACCACCCUCCUCACCAGCUCCGCCCCAGCCACACCCAUCUCCUUCUCUAUCUUGAAAGCCAAGUGCGUGCUGUUUCCCCCACUGGCCCGCUCUCUCUCCAGAUAGUUGCAUGCUUGCUCUCUCAUGUGCUUCAGGUCUCUGCUCAAAUGUCAUCUUCUCGUCCGGCCUUCCCUGAGCGCUCUAUGUGGCAUUGCAUUCCCCACUCCAAUACCUAGGCUGUCCCCACCCCCAUCAGCUGCUGACAUACUGCAUCCUUGCUCAGUGUCUAUAUUCCCACCGAGAGGACGGGCCUUUGUCCACUGCUAUCUCCUCAGUCUCUAGAACAAUGGCCCUGGCACUGUGA